rnacentral:rRNA from 1 species
UCCUCCGGGACGCAGCAGUGGGGAAUAUUGCACAAUGGGGGAAACCCUGAUGCAGCAACUCCUCUUUAUUUCAGAAGUCAUUCGUGAUGUAAAGCUCUAUCAGCAGGGAAGAAAAUGACGGUACCUGAGUAAGAAGCCCCGGCUAACUACGUGCCAGCAGCCGCGGUAAUACGUAGGGGGCAAGCGUUAUCCGGAUUUACUGGGUGUAAAGGGAGCGUAGACGGCCAGACAAGUCUGAAGUGAAAAUCCAGCGCUUAACGUUGGAAGUGCUUUGGAAACUGCCGGGCUAGAGUGCAGGAGGGGCA